rnacentral:rRNA from 1 species
GACGAACGCUGGCGGCGUGCUUAACACAUGCAAGUCGAACGGAGUGGCAAACGGGUGAGUAACACGUAAACAACCUGCCUUCAGGAUGGGGACAACCGACGGAAACGACUGCUAAUACCGAAUACCUGAAGAGGGGGUUGCGUCUGAUUAGUCAGUUGGUUGGGUAACGGCCCAACAAACCAACGAUCAGUAGCCGGUCUGAGAGGAUGAACGGCCACACGGGAACUGAGACACGGCCCAGACUCCUACGGGAGGCAGCAGUGGGGAAUAUUGCACAAUGGGCGCAAGCCUGAUGCAGCCAUGCCGCGUGUAUGAAGAAGGCCCUAGGGUUGUAAAGUACUUUCAGUCGGGAGGCGUUACCGACAGAAGAAGCACCGGCUAACUCCGUGCCAGCCGCCGCGGUAAUUC